UGUACACAGAGUACUGUGUGAAAACUUAACUAAGCCAUUCCACUGUCCAUAAUAGGGUUUCUUUAUGGAUAACGGAGAACCAACAGAAAUAGAUCAGAUGGAACAUAAUGAUGGUCGCACACCAUUGACAAACAUCUCAAACACCAUUACUAUAGGUAAAGGUUAUUACAGGCGUGUCGAUUAACGUUUGAAAUGUAGUAUGUAGGGGAACACUAAUACACAAAGUUAUACUGUAGCUGAUGGCAAUGGAUCGAAAUUGCUUGGUCCAAAUGUCGAUGCUAAGGAACGUAAGAGGCAAAGGGAAAGGGAAAGAGAAAGAUAUGUCACGAUGACCGUUGAACAAAAAAACGAGAAAAGUAGAAAGCGUUGUGAAGUAAGUCAACGAAAUAAAGGACCUCCUAUACAGCCAGAGGCAUCUAGAGGUGAUGAAAAUGUUAAAUUCCUAAUUGUUAUUAUACCUACAUGUACCUUAUACAAAAUUGUCGUGUAUUCUUUUGUAUAUGGGUGAUAUACAAAGAAGACAUUAAUAUGAAGACAUGUGAGACGGUUAACUUUGAAAUAAGUGGAGAUGUGCAUCUUGGUUCAGUUAGUCUUUCAUAUGGCUGUAGCACAAUUGAUUUCACAAACUUUGCAACACAAGUUCCUAAUAACAAAACUUCACCGACCAAUAAUUUUAUCGAACGAGAAAGGCAAAGGCAUAGAGAAAGACGUGCAAAAAUGUCAGUAGACCAAAGGAACAAGUUGAAUAAGAAGCGUCGUGAGGCGCGACAACAAAACAAGGGACAACAUAUGAUGUCCACUGUGUAAGGAGAUGGAGACGAAAAAGUAAAUGUGAAUAAGAUGAUGAUAGAGAUUGGUUGCAUUGGAAUGAGACAUUCAAGGCAGACGAUGUUUUCACAACGAGAGACCUUCUGACACCAGGUACAUGACUGUUCACUCAACUAAAUUUGCAAAACAGCUGAUUUCAGGCGGUUUAACGUAUACAUGCCCUAUUCCAGGCGUUGUGCUUGAAACUGUUGGUAACACUGUUGGGGACCUUCGGCGUCCGAAGGUCCUCAAAAACAGGAUUUAACAGUAUUUCUGUAGUACAAUGUGUAAAC